rnacentral:rRNA from 1 species
UGGGGAAUUUUGGACAAUGGGCGAAAGCCUGAUCCAGCAAUGCCGCGUGUGUGAAGAAGGCCUUCGGGCUGUAAAGCACUUUUGUCCGGAAAGAAAUCCUUGGCUCUAAUACAGUCGGGGGAUGACGGUACCGGAAGAAUAAGCACCGGCUAACUACGUGCCAGCAGCCGCGGUAAUACGUAGGGUGCAAGCGUUAAUCGGAAUUACUGGGCGUAAAGCGUGCGCAGGCGGUUUGCUAAGACCGAUGUGAAAUCCCCGGGCUCAACCUGGGAACUGCAUUGGUGACUGGCAGGCUAGAGUAUGGCAGAGGGGGGUAGAAUUCCACGUGUAGCAGUGAAAUGCGUAGAGAUGUGGAGGAAUACCGAUGUCGAAGGCAGCCCCCUGGGCCAAUACUGACGCUCAUGCACGAAAGCGUGGGGAGCAAACAGGAUUAGAUACCCUGGUAGUCCACGCCCUAAACGAUGUCAACUAGUUGUUGGGGAUUCAUUUCCUUAGUAACGUAGCUAACGCGUGAAGUUGACCGCCUGGGGAGUACGGUCGCAAGAUUAAAACUCAAAUGAAUUGACGGGGUCAUAGCUGUUUCCU